GAAAUGCGAUAAGUAAUGUGAAUUGCAGAAUUCAGUGAAUCAUCGAAUCUUUGAACGCACCUUGCGCUCCUUGGUAUUCCUUGGAGCAUGCCUGUUUGAGUAUCAUGAAAUCUUCAAAGUAAAUCUUUUGUUAACUCAAUUGGCUUCUACUUUGGUAUUGGAGGUCUUUGCAGCUUCACACCUGCUCCUCUUUGUUCAUUAGCUGGAUCUCAGUGUUAUGCUUGGUUCCACUCGGCGUGAUAAGUUAUCUAUCGCUGAGGACACUGUAAAAGGUGGCCAAGGUAAAUUCAGAUGAACCGCUUCUAAUAGUCCAUUGACUUGGACAAUACUUUUAUGAUCUGAUCUCAAAUCAGGUAGGACUACCCGCUGAACUUAAGC
rnacentral:misc_RNA from 1 species